rnacentral:misc_RNA from 1 species
CCGAGUUUACAAACUCCCAAACCCUUUGUGAACCUUACCAGUAUCGUUGCUUCGGCGGGACCGCCCCGGCGCCCUCGCGGCCCGGAACCAGGCGCCCGCCGGAGGCCCCAAACCUCUUAUGUCUUUAGUGGUUUUCUCCUCUGAGUGACACAUAAACAAAUAAAUAA